UAGACGGGCUGAGGGAGCUCGAUGGGCCUGACUUUAAAGAAAAGAUGAACCUGUGGAGAGGGACGAGGACAGAAGGCCGGCAAGUGAUUUAAUAAGAAGAGUGCGUCAGAUGGUGAAGGAUUAAAUGUUCACUUCAAAAAAAGGAGAGCAUGUUCCCUAAUUCCAAUCUGGGUCGUCCACCCUUCUCUCCUGCCCUCCUUUCACAGCAACAGUUUAUUAAUGUUCACAACUUCAGGAAUGCAACCCUUUCUGGUACUAUCCUGGCAGGAGUAGUUGCUCCACAAUCACCACGGGUAUGGCCCUUCAGUAAUGUGUGUCCUGCCCUUUUCACCGGCUCCUGCCCAGUAAUCUUGGCAGGAAACGAAGGAGCGAUGACCAGAGUAGUCCUUAUGAAGUUAAGCGCCAGCGGUUUCAGUCGCCAUCUUCCCAGCCAUCUGGCAGAUCAGUGCCUUUUCUAGUUGACCACAGGAAUUCGGUACCUUCACCUGGAAUUUCAUCUCUGCUUCC